rnacentral:rRNA from 1 species
GCUCGAAAACUUCUACAAUGCAGCAACUGCGAUAGGGGACAUCGAGUGAUACUCAUUUGGGUGUCGUCUCGUCUAAAAACGGAGUAGCAAGGGCCGGGCAGACCGUGCCAGCCGCGCCGGUAAUACGGCGGCUCGAGUGGUGGCCGAUAUUAUUGAGUCUAAAGGGUCCGUAGCCGGCUUUGCAAGUCUUUUGGGAAAUCCAGCGGCUUAACCGUUGGUCGUCCGGGAGAUACUACAUUGCUUGGGACUGGGAGAGGUAGGAGGUACUCAGGGGGUAGGAGUGAAAUCCUGUAAUCCUUUGGGGACCACCGGUGGCGAAGGCGUCCUACCAGAACAGGUCCGACGGUGAGGGACGAAAGCUAGGGGCACGAACCGGAUUAGAUACCCGGGUAGUCCUAGCCGUAAACGAUGCUCGCUAGGUGUCACAACAAUCGUGAAUUGUUGUGGUGCCGUAGGGAAGCCGUGAAGCGAGCCACUUGGGAAGUACGACCGCAAGGUUGAAACUUAAAGGAAUUGGCGGGGGAGCACCACAACGGGUGGAGCCUGCGGUUUAAUUGGACUCAACGCCGGACAGCUUACCGGGAUCGACAGUUGUAUGAAGGCCAGGCUGAAGACCUUGCCGGACUAGCUGAGAGGAGGUGCAUGGCCGCCGUCAGUUCGUACCGUGAGGCGUCCUGUUAAGUCAGGCAACGAGCGAGACCCAUAUCCACUGUUGCUAACAUGGCCCGCGAGGGUUGGUGAGUACACGGUGGAGACCGCUGGCGCUAAGUCAGAGGAAGGGGUGGUCGACGGUAGGUCAGUAUGCCCCGAAUAUCCCGGGCUACACGCGGGCUACAAUGGACUGGACAAUGGGUAACGACACCGAAAGGUGAGGUCAAUCUCUUAAACCAGUUCUUAGUCCGGAUUGAGGGCUGCAACUCGCCCUCAUGAAGAUGGAAUCCGUAGUAAUCGCAUUUCAAAACAGUGCGGUGAAUACGUCCCUGCUCCUUGCACACACCG